AAGGACCAUGUAUGAUAAGGCACUGUUUUAGCCCCCAAAUUUUGAAGAAAAUGAAAUUAAAACUACAUCUCAACGAUAUGAAUUAUUUGAAAGAUAAAGGAUUAAUCUUGCAUUUUAUAAAGAAAAAAUGCAACAGUUUUGCCUAAAAAGUCAUGAUACAUGGUCUAGUUUCAUGCCAUCAACACAGAUUUUGUACAUUUUUAGACAUUUUCGUGCACUUUAUCACCAAAAUACGAUACGAGCGCAGGGGAGAACAAUUUUAAUUUUUGGAUAUGUUUUGAGGAUUGCAAAAACACGAAGAAUGAUACAUGAGAGAAAAUUGUUCUAAAGUGCGCUCGUAGUAAAUUUUGAACAAGUACGGUAUUUUCGUCGGAAAAUUCUACUCUAAAAAUAGCCAUGUAAAGGGACGAAACUCUUGAUCUCCUUGAAGAGCUUGGCGUAAAGGUAAAUAAAAACAUGUUGUGACGUAAUGCGGAAGUGAUAUCGGUUGCUUGAAAAAUGGAUUUUUGUCAAAUUACAGUGAACAGGUUAUUGUGAGAUAGUCUGAUUACUUUGGAGCUGCCAGAUUGUGUAUGAAAUCCUGAAGUAUUUCAACAACUUUUUCAUGAACCACAGAAACUUCACCUUACCAAAUUGUAGGACCAGACAUUGUGAGAAAGUUUGAUUGCAUUCAAGAGUUGCCAGAGCUAAAGCUAGAAAAGAAACUAAACAACUUCUUCUCAUGAUCUGCUUACUUGAUCUUCACAUUGCAUUGUCAACCUGUAUGCUACAUUGUAUAAUGACGUUGAGCAAAUAAAGAUACUGCAGUCAGCGUUACAACCUUCAUUAAACAGAAUGAAUUGGUGUUACAGAAAUGAAUAACAUAUGGAGACAAACACUUUCAGACUACAGAAACUACACAUUGUUUGAGAAUAUGAGAAUGGCUUAUUUUCAUGAUGGAACUCAUACCACAAAGAAAGAACUUGCUUUAUCUUAUUUCUUAUACAUUGUAACUAGUCCUCAAAGACAUACCCAAGUAAACUACAUCAGGAAAGAAAGCAAACAAAGUUGAUUCAGGAUUUAGAAUUGAAUGUUUUUGUGUCAACAGUGUGUGAAAACUGCGGAAAAUAGGAUUUUAAUUUCAAGGAUUUGAUUUAGUAUGUCAAGGAGUGAUUUGUUUUUAAUUCAUCACACAAGUUAUUGACAAUGCUCUAAAAUAUAAAUAGGAUGUGUAAAUACAGACUUCCGUACCUUACUAAAAUAAUGUUGAACUCAACAGAAUAAACAAACUACUAUCUGUUGUAUAAUAUAUUAGUUGUUUUAUCAAACUUUGUCAGUUUUGUUACAUUACUUAUCAUUGAUAGAAUCUAUUAUCUAAUAACCCUUUACAGUGUGUCAAGUACUCAUCAUUAUAAGCUAUUUUGAAAUAAUUACAGGACUGAUAUUUUACUGGUAUUAGUUAAAUGUGUUGUUAUUAGACCCCUUACAUUUGAAAGUGAGUUUUCUUUAUAC